ACAAUCCUAAUGUGUACGUCAAUCUUCACAUGUUUUGACCGAACACUUAUAGAAAAGGGAGUCUGGUGUUUCCAUGCAGCGUACAUGCCUCGUGUAGGACUUACAAAACAUGGAACAGGACACCCACCUGCUUAGAGCGGGUUCAAAACUAUAACCAGAUUGACGGCACGAUUGGGAUUGUA
rnacentral:other from 1 species